GCCAGGCAUGGUGGCUCAUGCCUGUAAUCCCAGUACUUUGGGAGGCUGAGGUGGGUGGAUCACCUGAGGUCGGGAGUUCGAGACCAGCCUGACCAACAUGGAGAAACCCCAUCUCUA
rnacentral:SRP_RNA from 1 species